rnacentral:ncRNA from 1 species
CCUACCGAACUUAAGCUUAUCGCUGAGCAGAGGGAAAGAAACCAACCGGGAUUCCUUAAGUAUCGGCGAGUGAGCCGGGA